ACGCCGUUGUGGGAGGAUCGCGCGCGCGCGCCCAUUCGCCUUACUUCAUUUUUACAAGACAUUUCGAGUUUAUCAUUUUACAAAAUUAAAACAACACACGCGGCCUCGUUGACAAACAUUUUCUGAUUAUUGUUUUUUUGUUUCAAAUUACAAAAGAUUCGGAAAAAAGGGAGGUGGAGGAUAAAAGUACCCACGCAUUUGCAAUAGAAGCGAAUAACGAGGAGCAGAA